GAUGAACGCUGGCGGCGUGCCUAAUACAUGCAAGUCGAGCGAACGGACGAGAAGCUUGCUUUUCUGAUGUUAGCGGAGGACGGGUGAGUAACACGUGUAUAAUCUACCUAUAAGACUGGGAUAACUUCGGGAAACCGGAGCUAAUACCGGAUAAUAUUUUGAACCGCAUGGUUCAAAAGUGAAAUACGGUCUUGCUGUCACUAAUAGAUGGAUCUGAGCUGCAUUAGCUAGUUGGUAAGGUAACGGCUUAGCAAGGCAACGAUGCAUAGCCGAACUGAGAGGGUGGUCGGCCACACGGGAACUGAGACAGCGUCCAGACGCCUACGAGAGGCAGCAGAAGCCAAUCGGACGCAAUAGUGGAGAGCCUUGCAGAGCAACGCCGCGUGAGUUGUGAAGGUGUUGGGAGCGUAAAAAUCUGUUAUUAGUGAAGAACAUAUGUGGAAGGAGAUGUGGAGAGAUUGACGGUACCGAAUAAGAAAGCCACGGCUAACUACGUG
rnacentral:rRNA from 1 species